rnacentral:misc_RNA from 1 species
GACAAUACAAUUAUGUUUAUUCAUUAUCAUAAUAAAUUCAAGAUGGCCGCCGCUACAAAAUGGCGGAUAAUUUAUGUUUUAUUAAUCCCAUCAAUAUGGGUAUCAAAUGAAAGGGCUCAAAAAGCAGAAUACAAUAUACUAUAAAAAAUUGAAAUCCAAGAUGGCGGCCGCUACAAAAUGGCGGAUAACGUAGGUUUUAUCCAUCCCAUCAAUAUGGGUAUCAAAUGAAAGUGCUCAACCAGCAUAAUCAAUGUACUAUAUAAAAUUAAAAUCCAAGAUGGC